rnacentral:rRNA from 1 species
UACAUGGGGUGCAAACGUUGCUCGGAAUCAUUGGGCGUAAAGAGCGCGCAGGCGGUCGUUCAAGUCGCGUGUGAAAGCCCCCGGCUCAACUGGGGAGGGUCACGCGAUACUGAUCGACUCGAAGGCAGGAGAGGGUAGUGGAAUUCCCGGUGUAGUGGUGAAAUGCGUAGAUAUCGGGAGGAACACCAGUGGCGAAGGCGACUACCUGGCCUGUUCUUGACGCUGAGGCGCGAAAGCUAGGGGAGCAAACGGG